GACGAACGCUGGCGGCGUGCCUAAUACAUGCAAGUGGAACGCACGAGGUACACCGUAGUUUACUACACCGUACUUUGUGAGUCGCGAACGGGUGAGUAACGCGUAGGUAACCUACCUUUUAGCGGGGGAUAACUAUUGGAAACGAUAGCUAAUACCGCAUAAGAUAUCUUACUGCAUGGUAAGAUAUUAAAAGAUGCAAUUGCAUCACUAAGAGAUGGACCUGCGUUGUAUUAGCUAGUAGGUGAGGUAACGGCUCACCUAGGCAACGAUACAUAGCCGACCUGAGAGGGUGAUCGGCCACACUGGGACUGAGACACGGCCCAGACUCCUACGGGAGGCAGCAGUAGGGAAUCUUCGGCAAUGGGGGGAACCCUGACCGAGCAACGCCGCGUGAGUGAAGAAGGUUUUCGGAUCGUAAAGCUCUGUUGUAAGAGAA
rnacentral:rRNA from 1 species